ACAGUCAUAUCACAUUGAAACACCAGUUCUCAUCUGAUCAAUGAAGUUAAGCAACAUUGAACCUGGUUAGUACCUAGAUGGGUGACCACUUGGAUAUAUCAUGUGUUGUAAG